rnacentral:rRNA from 1 species
AUGAGCGCAAUUCCUUUCCGGGUAAGUUCCGGAGCGCACGAAUGGCAUAACGACUGGAGAACUGUCUCAAGGAGACGCUCGGUGAAAAUGCGAUUCCCGUGAAGACGCGGGGUACCUGCAGCGGGACGAAAAGACCCCGGAAGCUUUACUAUAACUUGGUAUUGGCUUUAGAGUGCGGAUGCGUAGCGUAGUGGGGAGGCGUCGAUCUCUCGUUUUCGGACGGGAGGGAGCCGACAAUGAAACACCCAUCUUUCGUGUUUUAAAUUCUAACUUCGACGGCAAAAACGGCGGAGGACAGUGCCUGGCGGGUAGUUUAUUUGGGGCAAAUUCCUCCUAAAGAGUAAUGGAGGAGUCUAUCAAGGUUGGCUUAGCGCGGAUGGAAAUCGCGCUGAAAGUGUAAAAGCAUAAGCCAGCUUAACUGCGAGACUUACAAGUCGAGCAGAUGCGAGAGCAGAGUUUAGUGACCCGACGAUUCUUAAUAGAAAGGUCGGAGACAACGGAUAAAAGCUACUCCGGGGAUAACAGGCUAGUGUGGUCCGAGAGUCCCUAUCGACGACUACGCUCGGCACCUCGAUGUCGGCUCGCCCUAGCGCGGGGCUGGAGAAGGUCCCAAGCGUGUGGCUGUUCGCCACUUAAAAGGGCACGUGAGCUGGGUUCAAACCGUCAACAAAAGAACCCUUAACGAUAAUCGAACACGGCGGCCUUCCUGAGUAAUCAGGAUUGAAUAAGUUGACUCAUAUCGGUGAAGUCCUAUCAUUGAAUAACAACCUGUCAUAUGAUCGGAUAAUACCGAGGGAAGUCAUACAGAUGUUAAAGUCUUUUUCGUCCACUCAAAAAGCAUAUAUAGCAGGUUUUCUAGACGCGGAUGGUAGUAUCUAUGCGCGCGCGAAGCCAAAUCAUACCUAUCGGUACGGAUUUCAAAUUGCGCUCUACGUAGUAUUCUUCCAGUCCGCGAAAGAUAAGGAAAACUUUAU